rnacentral:rRNA from 1 species
GUCAGCUCGUGUCGUGAGAUGUUGGGUUAAGUCCCGCAACGAGCGCAACCCUCGUUCUAUGUUGCCAGCACGUAAUGGUGGGAACUCAUGGGAGACUGCCGGGGUCAACUCGGAGGAAGGUGGGGACGACGUCAAAUCAUCAUGCCCCUUAUGUCUUGGGCUUCACGCAUGCUACAAUGGCCGGUACAAAGGGCUGCAAUACUGUGAGGUGGAGCGAAUCCCAAAAAGCCGGUCUCAGUUCGGAUUGAGGUCUGCAACUCGACCUCAUGAAGUCGGAGUCGCUAGUAAUCGCAGAUCAGCAACGCUGCGGUGAAUACGUUCCCGGGUCUUGUACACACCGCCCGUCAAGUCAUGAAAGUCGGUAACACCUGAAGCCGGUGGCCUAACCCUUGUGGAGGGAGCUGUCGAAGGUGGGA